rnacentral:rRNA from 1 species
UACGGAGGGAGCUAGCGUUGUUCGGAAUUACUGGGCGUAAAGCGUACGUAGGCGGCUUUGUAAGUUAGAGGUGAAAGCCCGGAGCUCAACUCCGGAACUGCCUUUAAGACUGCAUCGCUAGAAUCCGGGAGAGGUGAGUGGAAUUCCGAGUGUAGAGGUGAAAUGCGCAGAUAUCAGGAAGAACACCCGUGGCGAAAGCGGCUCUCUGGAACGGUACUGACGCUGAGACGCGAAAGCGUGGGGAGCGAACAGG